GACGAACCGUGCGAACGUUGUUCGGAAUCACUGGGCUUAAAGGGCGCGUAGGCGGCUCUUCAAGUCAGCCGUGAAAUCUCCAGGCUUAACCUGGAAGGGUCGGUUGAUACUGUCGAGCUAGAGUGUGGAAGAGGCAACUGGAAUUCCGUGUGUAGCGGUGAAAUGCGUAGAUAUACGGAGGAACACCUGCGGCGAAGGCGGGUUGCUGGGCCAACACUGACGCUGAGGCGCGAAAGCUAGGGUAGCAAACGGG
rnacentral:rRNA from 1 species